ACCCAGGUUGCCGCAAGGCCUCCUGGGUAACCUACCACCCUUUGUUUAUUACACUUUGUUGCUUUGGCAAGCCUGCCCUCGGGCUGCUGGCUCCGGCCGGCGAGCGCUUGCCAGAGGACCUAAACUCUGUUUGUCUAUACUGUCUGAGUACUAUAUAAUAGUUAAAACUUUCAACAACGGAUCUCUUGGUUCUGGCAUCGAUGAAGAACGCAGCGAAAUGCGAUAAGUAAUGUGAAUUGCAGAAUUCAGUGAAUCAUCGAAUCUUUGAACGCACAUUGCGCCCCCUGGUAUUCCGGGGGGCAUGCCUGUCCGAGCGUCAUUACAACCCUCAAGCUCAGCUUGGUAUUGGGCCCCGCCGACCCGGCGGGCCCUAAAGUCAGUGGCGGUGCCGUCCGGCUCCGAGCGUAGUAAUUCUUCUCGCUCUGGAGGUCCGGUCGUGUGCUCGCCAGCAACCCCCAAUUUUUUUCAGGUUGACCUCGGAUCAGGUAGGGAUACCCGCUGAACUUAAGCAUAUCAAUAGCCGGGAGGAA
rnacentral:rRNA from 1 species